UGCGUAGGCGGCCUGACAAGUCAGAGGUGAAAGGCUAUGGCUUAACCGUAUUAAGCCUUUGAAACUGACAGGCUUGAGUGCAGGAGAGGAAAGUGGAAUUCCUAGUGUAGCGGUGAAAUGCGUAGAUAUUAGGAGGAACACCAGUGGCGAAGGCGACUUUCUGGACUGUAACUGACGCUGAGGCACGAAAGCGUGGGGAGCGAACAGGAUUAGAUACCCUGGUAGUCC
rnacentral:rRNA from 1 species